rnacentral:rRNA from 1 species
GCUCCAGUAGCGUAUAUUAAAGUUGUUGCAGUUAAAAAGCUCGUAGUUGGACUUCCACUCCUCGGGAGCAGCCUUGCAACUCUGCAUGUCCUUAACCGGAUGGUAGAGACCUGCGGGCCUUUACCUUGAGAAAACUAGAGUGUUUAAGGCAGGCUUCGCCUGAAUACUGCAGCUGGGAAUAAUGACGCACCACCGUCUUG